CAGGAAGAUCUCCUGGAGAAGGGAAAUGGCACUCCACUGCAGUAUUCCUGCCUGGGAAAUUCCGUGGACAGAGGAGCCUGGCAGGCUGCAGUCCAUAGCAUUGCAAGGAACGCUCUGUACCCUGUUACCUGCCCUGAAAGGGGCGCUCUGCCCUGCCUUUUGUUCCUUUUGGCACAUUGGCUGUUUGGCUGUUGUUGGCCAUCAGGGACUCUAAGGCCACCUGAGAAAAGCCCCUGUGAUGUUUGGACCAAGAGAUGUGACAUAAGGGGGGCCAGCCGAGGCUGAAGGAUGAGCUGCUGCCCCUGGCCUGUAAUGCCUGCCUCACCCAGUGUGUCUCCACAGGCUUUGAGCUCAAGCAAAGUCAUCCUUGGAGACACAUCUGUUGUUUCCGUUGCUAUGGCUUCACAACAAACCAGCCCAGGCCUCAGCAGUUUUAAACAACAGUGUUUGUUGACCUUGAGCAUGUGAGUCAGGAAUGUGGACAAACACAGAGCUCUCCACAUGGUCUCCAGCUCCGAGGUGGAGGGGGCUGGCCCCCACGUGGAGGCCAUGCCCCAGGAGAGAGAGGCGGCUUAGCCUCGGACGUCAGCAUCGUCUCCUGUGAGGGGCACUGAGGUCGGACGCAUUUCACAGCUGCCUUUAGAAAUUCAUUGUCCAGGCCGCCGUUUCACAGAGGUGACCCCAGCAGCUGUGCAAACUGGACACUCAGGGACCACACUGCUGGGCUGGGAUGGAACAGGCUGGGGCCAGGGACUGUGCAAAGGGAGGACCCAGGGUGUCUUGGAGAGGCCUCGGCCCACCCAGGCCCUGGAGAUACCCCAGGUGGAGGGGGAUGACUGGAGGCUCCAGGCAGGGGAGGAAGUGGAUCUUGGUGAUGAAGAGCCCCCUGUUGCUUGUGGAUCAUCACUUCCUUCUGACCAGGAGGCCAGCCAGUGGCAGAGGAUGAAGAAAGGGAGUGGGUAGGGAGGGAACCACGCCACCAAGAUUGCAGCCAAACUUUGUAGCUGGACGCAGGCAAGAGGCAAAGUUUCCAUCAACCCCAUCUCUUAGCCCAGGGAGCCUCCCCACACCAAGAGCCAUUCAACAGUGAGCCUGAGGCCUUUCUGCUGGGAGGACAGACUGGGGCCUCUAGUAGCCCUGUUGGGUGGGGAAGGCUGAGGCUCGCCUACUUGUCUGGUGUCCAAGGAGAUGGUCAUCUCUCAGAUGAAACUUGGGUGGAGGCAGGGCUCAUGAGACUACAAUCUCCCCCACUCAGAUGUGGCUCCCAAAGCCAGGGUUCAGUGGUUUGCCCUGAGCUGGGAUAAAAACAUCCCAGGAUUUCCAUUCCCCGCCUCCCCUGCCAUUUUUCCCUUCCUUCAGGAAGCCCUCCAUGACUUCCUGCAAACAGGGUUCCAGCCUCAGCCCUGAGCACCCACUGUUUCAAGGUUUUGUUCAAACAGAAGGUGACUCUUGUUCGUGAUGGAGAGAUGGGGGCACCAGCAUGACCUUGAGGCGGCAGUUUGGAGGCUGAGGUAGGGGCAAGGAUGCUGGUGGGAGGGGGAGGAAGAUGGGGGCAUGUUAAUACAAGAGGGCUUCUGAGUGCACCCCACGCCCCCAGCGCUCAGGAGGCUGGGAGCAGAGUCAGAACUCCACCCUCAGGGUUAGCCUCCACCUAGCACCCAAGCCCCGAGCUGAGCCCAAGAGGCUGGAAAGGAGCCUGUGUGAGCCCCAGCCCUCUCUGGACAUGGCUCGGGGAUGUUUGGACUCUUAAUUAGUGUGAAUGUUCCUUAAUCAUCCUUGGAUGGAGCUCCUGAUGAGGGUUGCCAUGGCCACAGGGCUCUGGUGAGUAAAGGGCCCUCCACACUUUUACAUCAGUCACCUCGCCCAUGUGGAGCUCAGGCAGCUCUGCUCUGAGCCUUGAGCACCUCCAGGAGCUCCUGGCAGCUCCUCCUUCUGUGGCACCCGAGGUCCCUGGGUGCUCCUGGUAGGAACACAUCACCACAGGCUACCACGUGGUGUGUCCUCUGGGCCCUCCCAGUAGUACCACCGGGGGCGGUGGAAGAGGAAACAGGUUCACAGAGGACCAGUGACGUACCCAAGCCCAGUGAUGACUGUCCACGCCCUGUGCCGGGUGAGGACGUGAGGACAGUUACGUGGCAUCAGGUGAGGGCUCGUGGCCUGAAUACCAGCAGCCUGUGAAGUAAGUGCAAGUAGCCAUCCCUGCUUUGUAGGUGAGGUGAGCGGCUCGGAGAGGCUGAGUAACUUGCCCCAGGUCACGGAGCAAGUGAGAGGGCAAGGUGGGCUUCUGGGGCUGCCAGUGCCUGCUCUUGGUAGCAGAGUCAGGGCCCAGGGUUUGCUGUGGUUCCUGGGUCUUCCUGGAGCAUGGAAGUUAUCCCUUCUGCCCCCUCCACUGGCCCUGCGGUGGCCCCGAGGGCCAUGGCACCAUGGCAUGAGGUGGGGAAAGUGGGGGUGAUGGGGUGCUCCAUGCAUGGCACCUGCAACCCAGGGUGGGUUUCAGAGUUCAGUGUCCCAUGGGGACUGUCCCCAGCCUCAGCCCAGCAGCUCCCACAGUCUCCUUCAAAGGGGGCUGAUUCUUCCUGGCUCCUGCCAGCACACACGAUGGUCUGGGGGCCAGGCCAGAUAUGUGACGCAUCCCAUGCCAGCUGCGGACAUGCCAAGGGCACGCAGUGGGUGGGGCAGCGAGCUCCUGAUGCCCUCCAGAGGGGUGCUGACAGCUGGGUCCCUGUCCUCGUCAUGAAUGUCCUGAAUGCAGCCUGCCCUGCUGUUCCUGGUCUCCUAAUUAGAGCGAGACGUGGUCAUGUGCAUCCCCUGCAGCUUUUCCGGACUGUUUUUCACCCAGCUGAGCAGAGGCAGGGCUGUUAGUCCUUGUCACGGUAGAUGAUCAUGGGUCAUGCGUGGUCAGAUGUUUGUUCUGGGAAGCUGGGUCUUCAGAGCGUGAGACUGUCACCUCUCCCCCUUUUCCAUGUUCUGGAGGCUCCUAACCCACAAGACUUAAGGAGGCCCCAGCACCCUGGAGGGCUGCUUCUCUCACCCCAGGCGUGUGCCUUCCUGGACUCAACCUGGUCGUAGGUGUGCAAUCCUCUCUCCUCUUUUGAACACCUGACUUUGCUCACACGGGCGGGUCUCGCGACAACUUUCUCCGUGAGACACUCUGCAGGUAACCCAGGUCUGUCUCUGUGGGGGGCUGCGGUCUGCUGCAGCAGAAAGACCAACGUCCAGACUCUAAAGCACGGACGUCGGUGCUCAUUCACUGAGCAGGUUGGCAGGUGGCUGCCUCCAUCGGGAGGCUCCUCCUGGGAGCGCGUUCUCUGUGUCCUUCGCCCCGGGCCUCGUGAUCUGUCCCUGGAUCCAGUUGCAGGUGGUGAGGAGCGUGGGGAAGGUACAGCCACUUCCCAAAUCCUGGACCAGGUGCUGGCUGGCCUCGCUGGCCCACGUCUCUGGGGAGCUCGUCCCAGACUUGGCCAUCUCCACAGAUGUCUGGCCAUUUCCAAGCUGGUUGUGCAUCAGAAUCGCCAUGGUUCUCUGGAGACACGGACGCCUGGCCCCAGGCCCCACUGUGCUGCUUCACAGGCCCAAGGAUCUACGAGGGCCCUGGGGCAGAGUGGAGAGGACAUGCCCGCCUUGGGAGACAGGAGUUGGGAGAUGUGAUGUCCCCGUCGGGAGGCACAAGCUGCUAAUUGCUUUGUUUUGCGUUAUCAACAUCUGCGGGGAGAGAGCAGAUGCCGCCACUUGCCCAGCCUGCUGUCUCCAGAGGUGACCACUCUGUGGCAUCUAGGGCUCUUGGCACAGAACCUGUCAGACCACAGCCGAGCACCCUGUCCGGCUGCCCCUGUGUCCUUGCUGCUAAGACAGUCGCGCCCACACGCUGCCCUGAGAACGGGCACUGCGAUGACUGCCACUCCUUCCUGCAGCAGCACCAGGAGCAUACUUCUUUCUCCUUCUCGAAGAUUCCAGGCGGAACCUCUCAGCUCGGCGCACAAACUGAAUGGCUCCACCAAGGAAGAGGAAGUGCCUUGUCUGCUGAGAGGAGCUCCAUUCAGCCUCUGAACCUCAGUUUCCCUGUUUGUGAAACCAAGAACUAAUCCCCCUGCAACUGCAUCACAGGGCUUUCUCAAGAGGAUCAAAUUUAAUCAGGUUCAACAAGCUGUGUAUUAAUACAACAUUUAAACUGCUUCCCAAAUGACUGGUGCUGAGGGAAUACAUGCGUGCAUUAAAUGAGAUGUUGUUCUCAGAAGAAAUGGAAAACGCAGAGGAAGGCACACACAUGUCAGCGAGCAGGAUGCAGGGCUGAAUUAGUGAUCAUGGUUGUCCCCAUGGCAACCACGGCCCCGGAACCCCUGUCUCCAUAGCAGACUGUGCCCUUGCUGGCCUGUGACCACCCUGCCCCCAAAUGAUGAGGGUCCAUCACAUGCCCACAAAGGGUAGAACCCAGCCCGUCCUGUUGGGAGUGGAGACGGUGACCCCUGGGCACAGGGGCUAUGUCUUUUGAACCUCCUGGUGCCUCAAGCCCAGCAGAGUACCUGGCACAAGCUCAAUCUCUGAGCUUUUUUUAACCAUGAAACAAACUAGAUGCACAGUGACCAGUAUAACAGUUUGAGAACCACAGCCCUCCCCCCACCCCACUUGCUUCCCAUCUUCUUUAUCACCUAAGGAAGCGUCACUACCGGUUGGCUUUUCUUCCUUUGAACCAGGUCUAAAUGGAUGUCAACAGGCAUCUUUUGGGACGUGUGUUUCUGUUCUCUGCUGUACUGAGACUCAGUUAGUUAACGUCCCCUCUGGGGCAGGACUGAUGGUGGUGGGUGCAGUCAACGCUGCUGAAUGCAGGCAGGGGCUGUGAAGGCAAAUACCCCGUGUGCCCAGCCGAGGAGGAGAGAGUUGGGAGCCCGCGGGAGCCCGAAGGCCAGGCUUGGCAACAGCUGCACUGCCUGGACCCCGGAGGGCGUGCCUGUCUCAGCUGAGUGCCUGUGUGGGUGGAGCCGGGGGGUGUGGAAGCCGGGGCCCUGCCCAGAUGGGGUGUGGAAUGCUGGGGUAUCAGCAGGGCAGGGGCAGGGAUGGGCCUCCUGGGGCCGAGGCCGGAAUCAGUCCCUGAGCACACGGCUGCCCCCACCUCUCAUCCUCAGAGGAGGCCUCCGCCCGGAGUAAGGGCUGAACUGCCCAUGCCCACGCCUCCCAGUGAGCUCCGCGUUGCUGGAUCACAGCAUUUCUAGGUGGGGCUCGUCCGGCUGUCUGCUUGGCCUGGGUCGUGUCCAGGUCCUCGGCCUUUUCCCAUCUAAGACCUUUCCAGGAUGCAUGUCCACCAGAUACAGAUGGACAAAAACUGCAGUGGGCCUGAUCCAGCUAGACCAAGCAUAUCCCUAGAUCUGACCUCCUUCUUCCUUGGUCCCCUGAGGGCCCCUCGCCUUCCUUGUAUGUGGUAGGUGCUCAACAAACUCCUGUCCGGCAGCCCUGAGAUGCUGCACCUCGGGUUCGGUGCUGAAGCGACGUGGAAGGACCCAGAAUAGAUAAGUCCUGUGUUGACCUGCUGAUCCGCGUCCAACCUGGUUUUCAAACCCCUCCCCACUCUUCCUGGAGUGGGGAAGGGAUGGCAUUCCACCAGGGCCAGCGCUGGUCGUGGGAUCUGACAUCCCAGCUAUGAGCUAGGGGUGGAGGCGUGUGGCCCCAGGCCACCUGCCUGAGUCCGAGGCCAGGUCUGUCCCCUCCCCACAGGUGACAUUGAGGCCAACAGCCUCCAUGAUCUCCAUUUCUGUCUGAAACUGUGGAUCUGACGGGCCUGGCACAGGACUGCUGUGGGUACAAAGUUGAGUCUACUUGCCACGCCCUCUUCAAAUGUAAGGCUCGUGUGAUUUUUAAAAGACCUGGGAUCUGAGAGCCCCCAAAAUGCCAGAUGGAGGGCUGUUUUGGGAACGGGACCAGCUGGGCUUCUCUUUGGGCCUGGGGAGCUCCGCCGUGGGGUCCUAACAUUUCUCCCGUAUGGGCCAAUGUGAGGGCUAGGGAGGCUGAAGUGGCCUGAAUCUGUUUCUAAAUCUGACACUGUUGUUGGACACUGAUCAUUUCCAGCUCCUCUUUCACAGGCCCCUAUGAGUGAGAAAAUGUGGCUGAGCUGGGAGGUUUUAUAGCCUUCACUCACCUUUUCCUGGGGCAAGAGCUCCAUCCACUAGAAAACUCUGCUCCCAAGGCCAGAAAACACACACCUUAUAGAAAGUGCUGCGGCCACAUCCAGGGAACAAAAACGUCGCACUAGGUGACUGAGAAGGUGCUCAGUCUUCCCCAGCUUGUCCCACCUGCGAGGAGCUGGAGCCCAAAUAUGGAUUCUCUGGUGGCGGUAGACCGACAGCAGCCCGGUCACUGUACGCUCGCUGUUCAGCUGAGCCAUGAGCUGGACUUUGGUGACCUGAGGAGUCACAACUGAAGGCCUGAGGGGAUGGAGAGCCGCGUGCCAUGCUAGGGUUUUGUGGGACCCCCCCACCAAAGACUUGCAGGUAUUUUAUGUAUCGUCUAUCUACCUGUCAUUAAACUGGCCCCAGAUGACCUGACUCCAGUGAAAACUCAGGUCCCCUAGAGGCCAUGGGGCAGUGAAUACCCUCUCUGGCAUUUCCAUGGUCCCCAUCGAGAACCUUGAAUUCAAUCAGUCUCUGCUGGUCAGUAGAGUGCCUGGCGGAGGCGGAAUUCAGACGCAUGAACCUCUCUCUCUCUGGCAGGGACUCGCAGCCCCCCUAGCUGGCUGCUGGCAGGAAGUUCACCCCUGGGUGAUGAGGAUGCUGGGCUGUGCUCAGUUAAAGGGACAGUCAUCUUGGUGGCCAGGGGCUGGUGCAGAGGCAAAGAGGAAUCGCGGCCCAAGGCAGGAGCAAUCUGGAGGCUGCUUGCUGCUGGAUUGGGAGGGGGUGGGAAGCCAGAGCCAUUUCAGAUCAGUAUACCUGCCCCCUGGAGAGCCCGGGCCACCCCCUGCCCCCACUUCUGGGGGUGUCCACCUGGGUCUUCUCCUUGGAGGUCCCCACAUUCUGCUCCUAUCACCCCAACCACACUUCCUGAUUCCCGUGUUAUCUUCUCCAUCCAGCAGAUUCGGUCAAAUCUUUAGAGCCUGAGGGGCUUCCCUGCCCUGUGACUCACUCAAGACACCUGCAGGGAGCCCCACUCCCAGAGGUCACCACAUCCUGCUGUGUGGGGCAUCUGUACUUGCCCUUGUCAUCCACCUUGGAGCCUGUGUUGAGCUGCGGCAGGCAGACCCCACCUGUCGUUCCUCAAAUGUCCUGUGCAUCCUCACCCAUGUGGAACUCCGGCCCCUUCCCGUGGGUCAGUGAGAUGACAAAUUCUUUACUUAAGUUGCCCCCGUGUCUAGUGGGGAGCCAGCUGUCUGCAGGCCCAGGUGUCUGUGGGUUUGGCAUCUGCCUUUGCUUUGCUACCAGAAGCAGAAUCAUCAGGGGGUGAGAAUCCCAGGGCGUGAGACCCCUGACCCCUGGGGGGAAGCUCAGCUGAUCCUGAAGACCAGGGAGGGGUUCUCAAAAGGUCAGGGGGAGUCAUCACAGCCCAGGCCUCAUGCCACUUCUGGCGCUAAAGUCAUCGACAGCAGAGCACCGAUGUGAGCGUGGUCUCUAGUUGGUCAGAGACGGGACAGCUGCCUUUUGGAGAGGUCAGCCUUAGCUCAGGGUCUGAAUCCACACUUAAUAGUUUAUUGACAAAGUGGAUGUCAAUAUCCAUGGCAACAAAGGCAGGUGGACUUUGAGAGGAUGAAACAAAACUGUCCUCAGGGCUGGUGCUGAAGCUAGUCUGCAGGGCCCCUGAAGGCUCCUACAAAGUCUCAGGGGCCCCGGAAAGGCAGCUUAGUGCAGUGGCCACUGGACAUUCAUGCCUGGAAGGGACAGCGUCUGUUGGUCGACGAGAAGGUGGCCCUUGGAUGAUUUUAAACCCAGAGUCUGCCCCAGAUGAGAGGUGGCCUCUGGUAUCUGGAGAGGUGCAGGAUGACUGGCAGGGUUGAGGGAUGACCUGCCCAGCUCUUGGUGUCAGUGGGCCCUGUUCCCAGGCAGCUGUGUGGCCCCACUGUGGCGUCUCUGGCAAGUGCUAACGGCACAGUAACAGAGGAGCGUGGCUUCCCCCAUAGGGCUCUCCUUGGGACCCAGGCUUGUUCCCUGGAGAGAGUUGGAAUAACUGGGUAAGCGGGGAAGCGUGGUGAGGUGGGGGCACCUGGUGAGGUGGGGGCACCUGGUGACUCAGGAUGCCCAGGGAAGCAGGGGAGAGAGGGGCCUGGGGCAGCAGGAGACCAGCAGGCCACAGGCAUCUGCAAGGAUGUGGGAGGGCCUCACUCAUGCCAAGAUGACAUUUCCAUGGAGGUCACCUAGGCUCCUGCCCGCCCUGCCCCACUCACCCCACCACCACUGCCAGAGACAUGCUGAGAACAUAAACCAAAGUCUUUUUGGAUCCCUAAGAGUCCUGACCCACUAACUUCUGGGACCAGAUGUGAUUUCACUCUUUGAAAACCAUGGCUGAGGCCACGUGCCAUAAGAGGGGUGACAGAUUAGGAUCUGGCUGUUCGGGGGCAGCCUGAUUUUGCUGUUUCCGGGGAGUGUAACUUUGGGGAGAUUACAGGCGCAGGUUUCCAUUGCAGAAAGGGUUUUGACAAGAAUGGAGUGAGCUGGCCAAGGGGAGGCUGUGCCCUCAGGGAGACCGAGGAGGUGGCUUCCACCGGGCACUUUGUGGCCUGCAGGGGCUGCUGGGGUGGGCCUGUCCCCGCUCUACAGCUGCCACGUAGGUGGUGCCGGGUGCAUCACCUUCUCUGACCCUCAGCUCUGACUCCCACUCUCUGGUGCUCUUGGAACUCCAUGGGGAAAGCACCCAAGGGCUGGGGCGAGGCCUGCUCAGGGGUUGUCUAUGGAGGCCACCACGAUUGCAGGUCAGCUUGGGUCUAGGGAGGUGUGGCGGCCUCACACUUUUAGAAGAUGGCAUGCAGGCAGCAGCGACUGACACAGUCCCCUCCCCAGCAAGGCUGAGGGGGCCACGGGGGCCACCCUUAAGUGAGCCUCAGGCCAUACGCGGCCGGUCAUCAGUUGUCCUGACGCUUUGGCCCUGACCCCCACACCCUCAAGGCUACAAGGCACUGUGUGUGGUCAUGGUGCUGGCUUUGGGAAGGCCUGGAGGAGCUGAGGGCAUGGGGAGGGCUGAGCAUUUUAGACGGAGGCUGAGGGGAGAAAGGAUGGAGGUGUGGUAGUAGCCCUGAGGGGAAUAGAGCCCCCAGUGGUGGCAGGGCGGGUGGGUGGGAGGGACAUAAAUCCAAAGAUAAGCAACUUUGGGCACUGCUUGAGUGAAAAACGGGCAUUUUAGGACAAAUACAAAGAAGAGCACUUCACACAAUGGCUCACGAUGAAUGAAUCGGAGAGGCUAAGUUGAAAGGAUGGGAGGGUGGCACUGAGCCUGGAGACCGGUCCACGGGGCCUGUGACCACCCAUCUCUGCACCCAGCGGCUGAACCUGGCCUCCAGCCUGCGUUCACCAGUAUCCUCUCUCAUCACCCUCCCUGAGAGAUGCGGACCAAGAAGUGUGCCCACCUGCCCAGGAUCACAGCUGAAACCUGGGUUGGUUCGGUCCCAAAUCCAGCCUGUCUCAUCAGGCUACUCCAACUCUUCCAGAAAUCUCUGGGCUUCUUCCAUAUAUCCUGUUUUGAGUGUGGUUGAUUUGCUGUUGGUUUUUAUUUAUUUUGGCCACGCCGUGUGGCAUGUGGAAUCUUAGUUCCUCAACCAGGGAUUGAACUUGUGCCCCCUGUGUUGGUCCAUGCUGGUUGGUGGACCACCAGGGAAGUCCCUAGGGUGUGUGUUUGGAGCAUCCAUAGAUUCAAAUGCCUGAUGGAGCUCAGUUUUGACCGAGGAAGGCAGUGCUAAUAAUUUUCAGACUGGGUGCAUGCUAAGUCGCUUUAGUCAUGUCCAACUCUUUGCGACGCUAUGGACUGUAGCCUGCCUGGCUUGCUGUCCAUGGGAUUUCCCAGGCAAGAAUAACUAGAGUGGGUUGCCAUUUCCUUCUCCAGGGCAUCUUACUGACCCAGGGAUUGAACCUGUGUCUCCUGCAUUGCUGGCAGAUUCUUUACCAUUGAGCCACCAGGAAGUGUUUAAGGUAGACGAGAAGAGCAGCAGGUGAGGGGAUCAAACCUGAUGCCUUAUCCCAGGACCGUGGUUCUUAAUUUCCACUGCACCCUGAAAUCACCAAGCUACACCCCUGAUCAAUCACACAAGAUUUCUGGGGCUGGGACCCAGGAAGCAGGGCCGUCCUAAGCGCCGUGGGUGGAACCACUGCCCUGGAGCCAUGGCCUCCGCAUGCGCUGAGGUCUCAGGAUAAAAAUAUUUACGGACAUGUUCACGUGGGAACCUCCGUGCCUGGGGAUGCUGUGACCCCCCUGGCACCCCUAGGACGCCCCACUGCUGCUCCUGGUGGCUCUGCAGUCACUUUAACAACAAGGAAAAAGCUUUGGUGAAACCCAAGGAUUGAAAUUAAUCAGAAAGAAAAGGUCUAAGCAAAAAAAAAAAAACAACCUAGAAGAUAACUUUUGUUAAAUAAUGAACACUCAUGAAACAGCCAUGAAAUGGUAUUAAAAUGUCUGUGAUUACUUAUUUCUCAGCAUUCAUCUGAUAACUGAAGCAGCAGGAAGCAAUAGUUGCACUUAAAAAAAUGACAAGAAAAUAGCUAUUCAUUUAGUCGUGUCCUCAGUAAGAU